CGAUUUUGAAUUCUAUGGGACGUUUGUUUGCUGCUGCUUCUUUUAUAUUGGAUUUCUGCUGCUUCUUUUUGUUCGGAUUGGGUCUGCUGUUCGGUUUCGGAUUCUGUAGGGCGGAGAUUGUUCGGUUUCGGAUUCUGUGGGACGUUUGUUUGUUGCUGCUUCUUUUAUAUUAGAUUGGGUAUGCUGCUUCUUUCUGUUUUUAUAUUGGAUUCGACUUAUCUCGGGUUGAAUGGAUUGGGUCUGAUUGGAUUUCAUAUUAGAUUGGGUCUAUUUUUAUAUUAGAUUGUUCGGUUUCAAAUUGGGUCUGUUUUAAGCCAAGUACCUAAUUGAUGCACUUAGAUUGGCGAACUCGAAAUGGGCUGAAAUUUGGUCGGCUGUGUGGAAACGGGCCGCUGAUCAAUACACAUAGCUACGCUAUGAAGGACGUCGUUUUUUUGCAUUUCGGAGUCAUUUAGACAGGUUUUCGAGCAGAAACACAUUGUGUUUCAUAGAUUUUUAGUCCGGUUUAAAUAUUGUGUGAAAUAUACAUGAUACACAUUGUGUUUCACAUGGAACUGCUUUCUAAUAUUCAUUAACAGAUUUUGGAACAGAGGGUUCUAGUUCUUGAUUGCCAAAUAUGCUCCCCUUUUAUUUAUAUCUAGGUUUGAAAAUAUCCUAGUUUGAUCAUGUCAUGUAAUAUGCUCCCCAUAAUUCAUUCUCCUAUUUUCUUCUUAGAUAAUAAUCACCAGAAAGUGCUUCACUUCACUAGCUUUUUGAAUUUUUGUAGACAGAAGUAACAACUGUUAUUUGUGGCAAAAAAGAGCUAAAGAAGCUCGUAGACAUUUCCGGACAGCUUGCUAUUUAUCAGAGGCAAUAGCAAGUUUGUUUCGUUUUCUCAAGUUUAUCUCUUGCACUUUGAAACAAAAUGGUAAGCUUCAUGAUGUACGUCAUUAUGUGUCCCUAAUACAUGUUCAUGUUUUUAAAGAUAUUUGUCUAACCUUCCUACUUGUCAGUAUAAACAUGAAGGUCACAUGCAUGGUAUAGUUUCACAAAGAAGAGCAGCCCCUUCCCCUUCCUCGUCCCCGUCCCUUUCCUAUUCCCUUGCCCUUUCAUGUUUCCCUCAACCACUACAUGCUGAUGAACAACAUGGACACAUUGACCCUUCCUCCGACCCUCAAGAACAUAUUAGGGGACAAUUUGGAUACAUGCGAACUGAAUCUACUUUAGGUCCAUGUCCUUUAGUUCCAUCUCCUUCGGUUCCACCUUCUUCUUCGGUGCAACGCUCGAAUGAUGAGGGAAACAUAGAUGAAGAAGAUAACCGAUUCAUGAUAUGCCCAUAUGGAGAUUCGUAAGUACUUUAUUUUUUUAAGUAUAUAUAAUAUUUAGGGUUUUAGAUAUGGAUGUCAACUGAAUUAUCCAUGUUGCAAAUUAUCCGUAUGCUUCAUUGUUUCAUUGUCCAUAUCGUUCUUUCUAACCUGUUUGCAGAUUCACGGAUGCUGCGUAUGUUGUGAGGCAACUUAAUAAAAUAGUCAAUAACUCUUGGAAGGGGUAGUAUAUUAGUUAUAGCAACGCUCCAAAAAAAGUAAAGGAUUUGUGGUGGAAUGAGUUUAAGCGGAAGUUCAGGUGGGAUGAAACGAAAGAUGAUGAAGUUAAAAGAAUUUUUAAAAAGAAAGCCGGUGAUCACAUACGAAAUGUGAUGAAUAAAGCAAAGAUAAGUCAACUAAAGCCAGAUUUUAUUACAGGUAACAAUUGGACGGAAAUCAAGAGAACUUGGAAAACUAAAAAGAAUAAGCAAAUGAGUGACUAGAAUAAGAAGAAUCGAGCUUCUAGUUCUAGUGAAGGGUCUGCCACAUAUGCUGGGGGCUCUAUCAACAUUGGGGAGCAUAGAAAAAAAAUGCCAGAUGAAUUGGGGACAGAACCAACAUAUAUAGCUACAUUUGAACGCACAUUUCAAAAAAAAGAUAAGACACAGACUGGCGAUCAAGCAAAAGCUAUUAAGGUAUGUAAGGUUAUACUUGAAGGUAUGUAAGUUUAUGGAAACUAGAAUGAAAAUCAUGAAUGCUUUUAAUAUUUAUGGUAGUUAUAUAUAUGAAGUUAUUUUAUUUUCAUCUAUAUUGUUAAUGCAGAAAAAAUAUGAUGAACCUUUAAUGAGUAUUGCUAGUGGUAGUGGUGGUGAUGGUGUUGCUGCGUUUGAGCUAUCAGUUGACAGUAUGGCAUUAUGGGUAGAGGCAUCGGGUGGGAUGAAAAGAGGAAAAAUAUUUGGGAUGGGAUCCUUGUUAAGGGUAUACACAAUGCAAGCUGCUGCAACUUCAUCCUCCAAUGCGGCUGUUGCAAGGAGGACACGACUUGAGGAGCAAAUGACCCAAUAAUUGAGCCAACUGAAACAUUUACUUGUAGAGAAGGACGAAGAAAUAAGAGUGGUCAAACAACAAAUGCAAUUGAUCUUGCGACACCUUAACCUCGAUCACGAUGAGGUUCCUUCUGUAUCUCCGACUAAUUCAAUAGGUGAUGGGCACAAUGAUGAGCGACAUGAUGAUGAUGACAUUGUUGAUGAUGAUGAUGAUUUUGUCAGUUCUUGCUAAUUAAAAUUUCCAUUUUCAUAUCAUUAUAAUUUUUUUAGGCACUAAACUUUGA